ACUUAGUAUAGGGGCUAUAUUAAAUAUUUUGCCUUUUUUUUAAGCGGUCAAAGUACUGAUUGUUAUGCACACUUUGUAAAGUGGAAAAUUUUUUUUUUCCUGUACUCUUCCCCCGCAUUUCUACUUUUCCUCAAGGGUUGUGAGAAACAUCGAAAUGCCAAAAUCUUAAAAACUCUAAAACUCGUCAGUUCUAGGAAUUCCAGAUUAGCUUCAAAGAAAUUCGAGCAAAGUCUAUGGUAACAAGAAAGCUUUCAUGUUUGGCGCAUUAAACAAUUUGACCAACAUCAGUGCAGCAGCUGAAUCACUUGGAUUGUUAAAUCUGUUCUAAUGUUUGCAGUAUUUUUUUUUAAUUAGUCAAAGUAUUGUUAUACACAAGUAUACCAUACCACUUUAGGUUAGAU
rnacentral:misc_RNA from 1 species